CUUCGGCCAGGCAGCGCCUCGAGUUGUCCGCAGCAAGUUUCAGUCAGGGUUCUUUUGAAGACCCUUACCUGGAGUUACAAGUUGACUUCGGUUCUUUGCGGGAAUGGGACCCGCUGUUGGGGUUUCAUGACUGGCCGUUAUUCGACAUGCCAAGGACACGGCCUAAGAGCUUAGCUGGCCUUUGGAGUUUCGAGAUUUCGUGGCUCUGUAGAUGCAGGGCACAGUCACCACAUUCUUUUUCUAGUUGUAUUUCAGAGGAGAUGCUUCUUUGGAUCUCAAGUUUUAUUGCCACUCAUCAUUGCUCCAA